CCUGGGGAAAAAGAGCCAAAGGUUUCCAGUGCCUCCUCUCCAAGGUCAUGGCAUUUCCUGGGUCAGCCAGCAGUGAGGGGCUGGGCUGAGCUGCCCAUCUGGGAGACCCAGCAAGAGGCAACAGGAGGCAGCUGAGCAGGAGGUGGGCAGAGCACAGAGCACCUGGGGGACUGCAGCAGGCGUCAGGCCCCUCCAUGGGCAAAGGGAAGGGGACAGACCAGUGCUUCUUAAAGCAAAUCUCCACCAAGUCUCUCCCAAGUACCAGGCAUCUGCUGAGCCCUGGCGACCACUUCCCCAGGGGGCAGGGGCAGGACCCCAAGGCCAGGCAGGAACUAGGAGGGGACUCAGGCAUGAGGAACUGUCCAAACUCCUGCCUCUGGAAUUAGAGAACAAGGCAGAGGCUUCGAAUCUCAGAGCAGGUCCAAAUCUCCAUGUCCCAGCCAGGCCUGGGGCUCCUGAAAUUCCUCAUCCUGUCAUCAGCUCAGGGCACAAGGGCUAGCCGGUGAGAAGAGGCUCAUUCUCAAAGAGAUCUUCUCUCCUUCCAGGAAUCUACACUCUUUGGACCACUGCGCACUCUUCGAGGGAAACAUAACCAGGGGUAGGGAGGAUUAUGCUCCAUGGGGAAGUGCUGAGGUGGUCUCCAAAGCACCUGUCCUCUCCAGCCCUCUUCCCUCAGCUUCCAGAUAACCAAGCACAAUGCCCAGAUUGGAAAUCAUUAUCUACUAAAGAUAUAUGCUCCCAGCAAGUGCUAGAUCCCAGGGCUGGCUCGUGAUUCCCAUCUGCCUAACUGGAAAAUCAUCCACUCUCGAGCGCCCUCACUUCCCCAGCAUGGGCUGCUACAGACUGCACAGAUCUCUGGACUGUCAUCUUCUCAAUGGGUGGAGAUAGACCAGGCCAGCUGGGCCCCUGGCUAAGGCAGGGCUGGAAGCACAGAUCCCAGGCCCAUCCUGGUGCCCGUUUCAUCAGUGCCUGCUUUGUCUGGAGCUCACAGCAAGCAGGUCUGGGUCUGAGAGUCCGUGGAAGCAGGAAAAAUUCUGACUCAUCUCAAUGCAAGACCUCCUAUUCUACAGAUGAGGAAAAGUGAGACUGGGUGAGAUAGAGACUCUAUCCCCUACUCAAGCAGCAGAACCCAGAACACCAUUCCUGACUACCCCACUGAAGCUAGAUUGCCAUCACUUGGCAUCAAAGCCCUCCACAAUGAUGAGAGCCUUCCACCUGGCCACCUUCAUCACAUGGUGGUCCUGGGUCCUGACAUGGCCCUGGCCUCCUAGGCCCCUUCAGAUGCAGCCACUGAGUCUGAGGCUGAUCUUGAGGAUGCUGUUUCCUCUCUUACAGAUCACUGAAUACUCCACAGAUCACUGACACCCACCUGAAUACUCCAUAAGCAAAGAAAGUGAGGUCAGAGGCCGUUUUGCAGUCAGAUACUGAAACCCAGGAGAUGAAACACCUGUUCAUAACCCUUCAUUCCCCCAAACACCCAGAGCUGUCCCGUGCUUUGGGGAACCCAAGGGGAGGGAAGAAGCAGAGAGAGAACAAAGGGGACUCUGGAAUCAGUCUGUUCCCCAAACAGUGACCCCAGCCCCCAGCCCUGCCUGCCUCUCUGGAAUCACACCUCCUGCCAUCUGCCACCUGUCUGCCCCCCGCCACAGCAGGUGCCCUAUCCACAGGAAAGCUCUGAGCAGGAAGCAUGGGCCCAGCCAUGCUUUGCUCCUUUCCUCUUUCCUCCCCUUGACCUCUAAGGAGAGAACUCAGAAGGCAAGGACCCCUGCAUGAGUGUGCAAAGGGCAAGGAUCAGGUCUGAGUCUCUCACUACCUGCCCCCCGCCCCAUCUCCAGCACAGCCUCUACACUCCCUUGCUGCCUAAUAAGCCAGUGGAAUCACUGAAUAGAAGGGGCUUCUUAUGGUUCCCUUGUUGCAAACUUUUCGGCCACUGGGCUAUAGGACAAGUUAGUGACUGUGGGCAGCCAGCCAAGAUUUGACCUCGUGCCACAGUAGGCCCUUGGAGAUCAUCACAAAGAGACCAGGACCCUAACUUCCCAGCCUUUCCUGGGAGAAGGCUCUGAUGGUGGUGGGGAGAGCAGAGAAGGAGGGUGCGUGAGGAAGACAGGGAAUAGGGGCUGCAGGCUGGAUAUAGGCCAGCAUGCUGGGCCAAUUCGCGCCUGGUCCUCCGUAGGCUCUGGCUCCAACCCAGCAACCUCUUCCCCUCCGACUUCAUCCUGUGGUGUGUGAGGGUCUGUUCUGGGGUGGUGAGGCCCAGACAUUACCUCUUUAUCUGAAUCUUUCCUGACAUCCCUCCGAUAACAAAGAAGGUGGCUCAAUAGGGAGGUUUACCAGGGAUUUAAGAUUCUUCCUCUAGGUCUGUGUUGGAAACACCAACGUCCACAUAAAGCCCAAGGCACCAUUAGUGGGGAAAUCAGGGGGGCCCACAGCAGCUCUGGGGGCUGGCUUAGCUCCCACCAUCCCUUGCAAUCUUUGAAGACUGCCAGCAGCCAUGUGUCCAGCCCCCAUCCCAUCCAUUUCAGGGGAAUGAGAAAAGGCAAGGAGACCAGCCAAGUUACAAGCGUUCCUAGCAUGAGUCCUGACACACAGUAGUGCCUUCUGAAGCGCCUGCUUCCUCCCUCCCCUUCCAGGCACUUUUGGGAUGUGGCCGAGUGCAGUCAGCUGCCUUCCUCUGAUGCCUGGUGCUGGCUCUUGGCCAACUCCUUAAAAAAACUGGAAGCAGUGACUACUUUCUCUUCUCCCUUUUCAUAAAGAGAUCGCAGAACAGAGGCACUGACCUUGGGCAACCUUGCACCGCAGUGUUUUCCAAAAGACAAAA
rnacentral:lncRNA from 10 species